UGCAUUCACUACUGUAAGUCGCUCUGGAUAAGAGUGUCUGCUUAAUGAGUAAUA
rfam:Salmo salar isolate Sally breed double haploid chromosome ssa14, whole genome shotgun sequence.